rnacentral:lncRNA from 1 species
UCAGAGGGCUGUGUUCCUGGCUCACCAAUGAUCACCUCAUGCUGUGACCUCACAUGGUCUUUCCUCAUGUUGGAGGGAGUACUAAGUUUUUGGCUGCAGUUCCAUGGAAAUGGAAAAUUAUGUACCAGCCACUGUGAUGAGGAGGAAACAAGGGAGGAAAUUCUUCUGCUAGAGCAACACCUGUGGAAGUCCCAUCAUUUUUUAUAAAAGCAAUUUUCCAGUCUGUUUCCACACCAACUCAUCUGAAGACUGUGAGUUCUCCAGGGAAAGUACCCAGCUCAGGAUGUCUCAAAUUCUGGAGUGGGCUCUGUGGCCAUCUGGGCUUGCCUAAUGAUGGCUCUGGUGCCUAGAACCUCCAGGGAGCGGGGAAUGACUGCUGGUAAGGACUGAGCAGUGCGGCGGCAUUCUGCUGUGUUGGGAUCAGCUCUGGGUGCGAAACGGCAGCACCUUUUCAAAAGCAUCCACGGACGUGCUGGAGGGACAGACCAGCAGUUAGGAGCAGCAGCUGCUCUUCCAGAGGACCUGUAUUAGCAGCUUACCACUGUCUACAACUCCAGUCCCAGGGGAUCCAACACCUUCUCUGGCUUCCAAGGGCAUUCGACACACAUGUGGUGCACAGACAUACAUGCAGACAAAACAUCCAUGUGCAUAAAUAAAAUAAAGUAUCCGUAGGAGUUAGAUCAUGCUGGAAUUUCAAUUUGAUUUGAUUUGAUUCCUAAAGAUCUCAUUCCCAGUUUUGUCCCUUUCCUCCCUCCCUCCCUCUCUCCCCCCUCCCUCUCUGUGUUACAUAGGCUAACUUCAAACUCCCCCCAAGCCAUAUAUCAAUUACUUUAAAGAAACACGCAAACUUGAUUUAGGUACAGUCCUUUGAAAAGACAGGAGCUUGAAUGGGCUAUUCCUAGACUAUAGGGGAUUUUUACUAUAAUCUUAGGGAGCUAGAUAAGCUGUCCCAGGUAAAUAUCUACCAAUGAUAAUGUUACUUAAAAAAAAAUCCAAUAUUUAUAUAUAUAUAUGUCACAAAGCUGAAAUAAAAAUUAGAAAGUGAAUCAAAUUGAUUCUUUCCAGGUUGUUGCCCAUUAUUUAUUUAUAUGUGUUUCUUAAUAAGUGGCCUGACAAUAGACACUACACUCCCAGACCUUUU